AUACGGAAGGUCCGGGCGUUAUCCGGAUUUAUUGGGUUUAAAGGGAGCGCAGGCGGAGAUGCAAGCGUGACGUCAAAUUUCGGGGCUCAACCCCGUCUCGCGUCGCGAACUGCGUCCCUUGGUUGCGGGAAGGGGAGGCGGAACUCGUGGUGUAGCGGUGAAAUGCAUAGAUAUCACGAAGAACUCCGAUCGCGAAGGCAGCCUUCCGGCCCGUCAACGACGCUCAUGCUCGAAGGUGCGGGUAUCAAACAGGAUUAGAUACCCUGGUAGUCCGCACAGUAAACGAUGGACACCCGCGGUUUGGCCUGUAUGGCUGAGCCGCCAAGCGAAAGCGUUAAGUGUCCCGCCUGGGGAGUACGCCGGCAACGGUGAAACUCAAAGGAAUUGACGGGG
rnacentral:rRNA from 1 species